UUUAUACGUCGAAUUUUGGUCGCGUCGAAUGCAAUUAAGACAAUAGAUAAUGAGAUGAUAAACCUCAUUAAGCUUCAUUAUCUAUUGUUUGAAUUGCAUUCGACUCGACCGAAAUUCGACGUAUAAA